rnacentral:rRNA from 1 species
UACGUAGGGGGCGAGCGUUGUCCGGAGUUACUGGGCGUAAAGCGCACGCAGGCGGUCUGCUAAGUUUGGAGUGACAGUUGGUGGCUUAACUGCCAAAGUGCUUCGAAAACUGACAGACUUGAGGGCUUCAGAGGGACACGGAAUUCCGGGUGGAGUGGUGAAAUGCGCAGAUAUCAGGAGGAACACCGGUGGCGAAGGCGGGUCUCUGGGCCACUACUGACGCUGAGAAGCGAAAGCAUGGGGAGCGAACAGG